GAGAAACCUCAUCUGCAGUAAAGUCCACAGAAGCUGUUGGAUCAGAUAAAGUGAUCAGGAUCUCUAAAGGAGGAAAAUACCAAUGCAGAGGGCGGAGAACAGGCACAACUUUACUCAUAGCACAAAGUGAUCCAGUCAUCAUUCAGGAAACUGAUAAACCAAAGGCCAAACUGAGAGCUGAUAACACAGCUGUUCCAGUAGGGGGCAGUGUGACCCUGACCUGCUCUGUGAGCCCAUCAUCAUCAUCUGGAUGGAAAUAUUACUGUUCCAGUACAGGUACAGAGAUGAUACCACAGUGGAUGUUGUCUCCCCAUCAAAUGGACAAAUCAAUGUCUCACCGGAAGGACUCUACAGGUGCAGAGGAGGAAGAGGAAACCCAGUUUACUACACAGAGGACAGCCAAGAAGUUCAGAUUAACACAACUGUUUCAGGUUUUGGAUGUGAAAGAAGUUCAUUUAUCAUUCCGUUCAUCAUCGGACUUGUUAGUGGAAUUAUUGCCGUGCUGAUGCUGAUGUGUUGCUAUAAACAGAUAAAGGAACCCUGUUGUAACAGUCUCACUCAGUCUCAGAGCACCAAUCAAAGCUCUGCUUCACAACAAACAUCCAACCAGAAUGAAGCUCAGGUUUACUCCUCUCUUCUUCAUGGUGAUCUUUCAGUCUAUGAAUCAAUCAGAGGCUCUGGAAACACUGGAAGUGCAGAUGAAUACAACAACGUCACAUCUGGAUUUCAGCUUGAAGGUCUUGAUAAAAGGAGCAGACAUGAUGGCACAGAGGAGAGCUCUGACUACAAUAAUGUGAAUCCUGAAUCAGCCUCAUGUACAAAUGUGAACUCUAC
ensembl:lncRNA